rnacentral:rRNA from 1 species
AUGCACGCUGGCGGCGUGCCUAAUACCUGCAAGUCGAGCGAACAGACGAGGAGCUUGCUCCUCUGACGUUAGCGGCGGACGGGUGAGUAACACGUGGAUAACCUACCUAUAAGACUGGGAUAACUUCGGGAAACCGGAGCUAAUACCGGAUAAUAUAUUGAACCGCAUGGUUCAAUAGUGAAAGACGGUUUUGCUGUCACUUAUAGCUGGAUCCGCGCCGCAUUAGCUAGUUGGUAAGGUAACGGCUUACCAAGGCAACGAUGCGUAGCCGACCUGAGAGGGUGAUCGGCCACACUGGAACUGAGACACGGUCCAGACUCCUACGGGAGGCAGCAGUAGGGAAUCUUCCGCAAUGGGCGAAAGCUUGACGGAGCAACGCCGCGUGAGUGAUGAAGGUCUUCGGAUCGUAAAACUCUGUUAUUAGGGAAGAACAAAUGUGUAAGUAACUAUGCACGUCUUGACGGUACCUAAUCAGAAAGCCACGGCUAACUACGUG